rnacentral:rRNA from 1 species
AUACGGAGGAUCCGAGCGUUAUCCGGAUUUAUUGGGUUUAAAGGGUGCGCAGGCGGGAGAUUAAGUCGGCGGUGAAAUUUUGCAGCUCAACUGUAAAAGUGCCUUCGAAACUGGUUUCCUUGAGUGUAGGUGAAGUAGGCGGAAUUUGUGGUGUAGCGGUGAAAUGCAUAGAUAUCACGAGGAACUCCGAUUGCGCAGGCAGCUUACUAAACUACUACUGACGCUCAGGCACGAAGGCGUGGGGAUCAAACAGGUUUAGAUACCCUGGUAGUCCACGCAGUAAACGAUGAUUACUAGCUGUUUGCGAUACAAUGUAAGCGGCUGAGCGAAAGCGUUAAGUAAUCCACCUGGGGAGUACGUUCGCAAGAAUGAAACUCAAAGGAAUUGACGGGG